GAUGAACGCUAGCGGCAGGCUUAACACAUGCAAGUCGAGGGGCAGCGCGAUGUAGCAAUACAUUGGCGGCGACCGGCGCACGGGUGCGUAACACGUAUGGAAUCUGCCCUUUACUGGGGGAUAGCCCGGAGAAAUCCGGAUUAAUACCCCAUAAUAAUCGAGGUGGCAUCACCUUGAUUUGAAAGCUCCGGCGGUAAAGGAUGACCAUGCGCACGAUUAGCUAGUAGGUGAGGUAACGGCUCACCUAGGCUACGAUCGUUAGGGGGCCUGAGAGGGUUAUCCCCCACACUGGUACUGAGACACGGACCAGACUCCUACGGGAGGCAGCAGUGAGGAAUAUUGCGCAAUGGAGGCAACUCUGACGCAGCCAUGCCGCGUGCAGGAAGAAGGCGCUACGCGUUGUAAACUGCUUUUAACCGGGAAGAAGCCCCUCUACGUGUGGAGGGUUGACGGUACCGGAGGAAUAAGCACCGGCUAACUUCGUGCCAGCAGCCGACGG
rnacentral:rRNA from 1 species